AUUGAACGCUGGCGGCAGGCCUAACACAUGCAAGUCGAGCGGAUGAAGGGAGCUUGCUCCUGGAUUCAGCGGCGGACGGGUGAGUAAUGCCUAGGAAUCUGCCUGGUAGUGGGGGAUAACGUCCGGAAACGGGCGCUAAUACCGCAUACGUCCUGAGGGAGAAAGUGGGGGAUCUUCGGACCUCACGCUAUCAGAUGAGCCUAGGUCGGAUUAGCUAGUUGGUGGGGUAAAGGCCUACCAAGGCGACGAUCCGUAACUGGUCUGAGAGGAUAAUCAGUCACACUGGAACUGAGACACGGUCCAGACUCCUACGGGAGGCAGCAGUGGGGAAUAUUGGACAAUGGGCGAAAGCCUGAUCCAGCCAUGCCGCGUGUGUGAAGAAGGUCUUCGGAUUGUAAAGCACUUUAAGUUGGGAGGAAGGGCAGUAAGUUAAUACCUUGCUGUUUUGACGUUACCAACAGAAUAAGCACCGGCUAACUUCG
rnacentral:rRNA from 1 species